UACAGAGGGGGCAAGCGUUGUUCGGAAUUACUGGGCGUAAAGGGCGCGUAGGCGGCCUGCUAAGUCGAACGUGAAAUCCCCGGGCUCAACCCGGGAACUGCGUCCGAUACUGGCAGGCUUGAAUUCGGGAGAGGGAUGCGGAAUUCCAGGUGUAGCGGUGAAAUGCGUAGAUAUCUGGAGGAACACCGGUGGCGAAGGCGGCAUCCUGGACCGAAAUUGACGCUGAGGCGCGAAAGCCAGGGGAGCAAAGCGGGG
rnacentral:rRNA from 1 species